AGUGAACGCUGGCGGUAGGCCUAACACAUGCAAGUCGAACGGCAGCACAGUAAGAGCUUGCUCUUACGGGUGGCGAGUGGCGGACGGGUGAGGAAUACAUCGGAAUCUACUUUUUCGUGGGGGAUAACGUAGGGAAACUUACGCUAAUACCGCAUACGACCUACGGGUUAAAGCAGGGGAUCUUCGGACCUUGCGCGAUUGAAUGAGCCGAUGUCGGAUUAGCUAGUUGGCUGGGUAAAGGCCCACCAAGGCGACGAUCCGUAGCUGGUCUGAGAGGAUGAUCAGCCACACUGGAACUGAGACACGGUCCAGACUCCUACGGGAGGCAGCAGUGGGGAAUAUUGGACAAUGGGCGCAAGCCUGAUCCAGCCAUACCGCGUGGGUGAAGAAGGCCUUCGGGUUGUAAAGCCCUUUUGUUGGGAAAGAAAAGCAGCAGGUUAAUACCCCGCUGUUCUGACGGUACCCAAAGAAUAAGCACCGGCUAACUUCGUG
rnacentral:rRNA from 1 species